rnacentral:rRNA from 1 species
UACGUAGGGGGCAAGCGUUGUCCGGAAUCAUUGGGCGUAAAGGGCGUGUAGGCGGCCCGGUAAGUCAGCUGUGAAAGUCCAGGGCUCAACCCUGGGAUGGCGGUGGAUACUGUCGGGCUCGAGUCCGGAAGAGGGGUGUGGAAUUCCUGGUGUAGCGGUGAAAUGCGCAGAUAUCAGGAGGAACACCGGUGGCGAAGGCGGGUCUCUGGGCCGAUACUGACGCUGAGGAGCGAAAGCGUGGGGAGCGAACAGG